rnacentral:rRNA from 1 species
UACGUAGGUGGCAAGCGUUGUCCGGAUUACUGGGCGUAAAGGGCGUGCAGGCGGUUUGUUAAGUGCAGGGUGAAAGCUCCCGGCUCAACUGGGAGAGGUCCUUGCAUACUGGCAAACUCGAGGGAGGCAGAGGAAAGUGGAAUUCCCGGUGUAGUGGUGAUAUGCGUAGAUAUCGGGAGGAACACCUGUGGCGAAGGCGGCUUUCUGGGCCUU